rnacentral:rRNA from 1 species
ACCAAGGAGUCUAGCAAGUGCGCGAGUCAUAAGGGUUCACUAAACCUUAGAUGGCGUAACGAAAGUGAUGUAAAGCGAGAUUUAUCUCGACGAUGCGGUUAUGGGAGCAAUCUCAUAACCUCGUUGGACCGAUCCCCUCGGAAAUGCCUCGUUUCCCACCCUUCGCGGGGUGGCGAGGCCGCUACCAAUGUAUGAGGGGCGCAGGUCCGGAGGCCCGCCAUAUUAUCCUCUCUCUCCGUUUUACCGACCUCCCUCGUUCGCGGGGAUCAAAUGGGGCCGGGCGGAGAAGACGAUAGGCGGGUUCCAAGAGCGUUCGUGCUAGUACCCGAAAGAUGGUGAUCUAUGCCUGGCCAGGAUGAAGCCAGAGGAAACUCUGGUGGAGGUCCGUAGCGGUUCUGACGUGCAAAUCGAUCGUCGGAGCUGGGUAUAGGGGCGAAAGACCAAUCGAACCAUCUAGUAG